rnacentral:misc_RNA from 1 species
GUCAUCCGAUAAAAGUCCCAUACCACGCGCAAAUGGGAUCCUAUAGUUCAAUUCAUCUGGAUUAAUUGUCAAAGGAUUUCCAAGUAUGUAACCCUUAAGAUUAAUCAUUGGCUUGGUCUUCGCAUCGUUCCCAUUUGAUAUAGUUUGAACAACAAUUGGAACAGUUGUCCCAGAGUACGAGUCACCCCCAAUAUAUAUUGGAUUUUGA